rnacentral:rRNA from 1 species
GACGGAGGAUGCAAGUGUUAUCCGGAAUCACUGGGCGUAAAGCGUCUGUAGGUGGUUUAAUAAGUCAACUGUUAAAUCCUGAGGCUCAACCUCAAAAUCGCAGUCGAAACUAUUAGGCUAGAGUAUAGUAGGGGUAAAGGGAAUUUCCAGUGGAGCGGUGAAAUGCGUAGAGAUUGGAAAGAACACCGAUGGCGAAGGCACUUUACUGGGCUAUUACUAACACUCAGAGACGAAAGCUAGGGUAGCAAAUGGG